AUGAUAGGGCUCUCUUUGGCUACAUAUAUUCUAAAAUUGGAAUGAUAUAGAGACGAUUAGCAUGGCCUCUGAACCAUGAGGACACGCAAAUUCGUGAAACACCCCGUAUUUUU
ensembl:snRNA U6 U6 spliceosomal RNA